rnacentral:rRNA from 1 species
UACGGAGGGUGCAAGCGUUAUCCGGAUUCACUGGGCUUAAAGGGUGCGUAGGCGGGCAUGUAAGUCCGUGGUGAAAUCUCCGAGCUUAACUCGGAAACUGCCAUGGAUACUAUGUGUCUUGAAUGUUGUGGAGGUGAGCGGAAUAUGUCAUGUAGCGGUGAAAUGCUUAGAGAUGACAUAGAACACCAAUUGCGUAGGCAGCUUACUACACGAUCAUUGACGCUGAGGCACGAAAGCGUGGGGAGCAAACAGG